AUGCAAGUCGCACGAGAACGCCUCUGCUUGCAGAGGCAAGUAAAGUGGCGCACGGGUGAGUAACGCGUGGGUAAUCUACCCUCGAAUCGGGGAUAACAUUGCGAAAGCGAUGCUAAUACCGGAUGACAUCCAUUUUGUUUCGGCAUUUUGGAUCAAAGGUGGCCUCUACAUGUAAGCUACUGUUUGAGGAUGAGCCCGCGUCCCAUUAGCUAGUUGGUGGGGUAACGGCCUACCAAGGCGACGAUGGGUAGCUGGUCUGAGAGGAUGAUCAGCCACACUGGAACUGACACACGGUCCAGACUCCUACGGGAGGCAGCAGUGAGGAAUUUUGCGCAAUGAGCGAAAGCCUGACGCAGCAACGCCGCGUGAGUGAUGAAGGCUUUCGGGUCGUAAAGCUCUGUCAAGUGGGAAGAACACGCAACAGGUUAAUACCCUGUUGCCCUGACGGUACCACUGAAGGAAGCACCGGCUAACUCCGUG
rnacentral:rRNA from 1 species